GGGUUGUGAGGUUAAGCGACUAAGCGUACACGGUGGAUGCCCUGGCAGUCAGAGGCGAUGAAGGACGUGCUAAUCUGCGAAAAGCGUCGGUAAGGUGAUAUGAACCGUUAUAACCGGCGAUGUCCGAAUGGGGAAACCCAGUGUGAUUCGUCACACUAUCGUUAACUGAAUACAUAGGUUAACGAGGCGAACCGGGGGAACUGAAACAUCUAAGUACCCCGAGGAAAAGAAAUCAACCGAGAUUCCCCCAGUAGCGGCGAGCGAACGGGGAGCAGCCCAGAGUCUGAAUCAGCUUGUGUGUUAGUGGAACGGUCUGGAAAGUCCGACGGUACAGGGUGAUAGUCCCGUACACCAAAAUGCACAGGCUGUGAACUCGAAGAGUAGGGCGGGACACGUGGUAUCCUGUCUGAAUAUGGGGGGACCAUCCUCCAAGGCUAAAUACUCCUGACUGACCGAUAGUGAACCAGUACCGUGAGGGAAAGGCGAAAAGAACCCCGGCGAGGGGAGUGAAAAAGAACCUGAAACCGUGU
rnacentral:rRNA from 1 species